UACAGAGGGUGCAAGCGUUUUCCGGAAUUACUGGGUGUAAAGGGUGUGUAGGCGUGGCUGUAAGUCAGAGGUGAAAUCCCACGGCUUAACCGUGGAACUGCCUUUGAUACUGCAGCUCUUGAGUCUCGGAGAGGUCACUAGAAUUCGUGGUGUAGCGGUGAAAUGCGUAGAUAUCACGAGGAAUACCAGAAGCGUAGGCGGGUGGCUGGACGCCGACUGACGCUGAGGCACGAAAGCGUGGGGAGCAAACAGG
rnacentral:rRNA from 1 species